rnacentral:rRNA from 1 species
CUUAACACAUGCAAGUCGAGCGGUAACAGGAGAAGCUUGCUUCUCGCUGACGAGCGGCGGACGGGUGAGUAAUACUUAGGAAUCUGCCCAGUAGUGGGGGAUAGCUCGGGGAAACUCGAAUUAAUACCGCAUACACCCUACGGGGAAAAGGGGGCGCUUGCGCUCUCGCUAUUGGAUGAGCCUAAGUCGGAUUAGCUAGUUGGUGGGGUAAAGGCCUACCAAGGCGACGAUCUGUAGCUGGUCUGAGAGGAUGAUCAGCCACACCGGGACUGAGACACGGCCCGGACUCCUACGGGAGGCAGCAGUGGGGAAUAUUGGACAAUGGGGGCAACCCUGAUCCAGCCAUGCCGCGUGUGUGAAGAAGGCCUUUUGGUUGUAAAGCACUUUAAGCAGUGAAGAAGACCUAACGGUUAAUACCCGUUAGCGAUGACAUUAGCUGCAGAAUAAGCACCGGCUAACUCUGUGCCAGCAGCCGCGGUAAUACAGAGGGUGCAAGCGUUAAUCGGAAUUACUGGGCGUAAAGCGAGCGUAGGUGGCUUGAUAAGUCAGAUGUGAAAUCCCCGGGCUUAACCUGGGAACUGCAUCUGAUACUGUCAGGCUAGAGUAGGUGAGAGGGAGGUAGAAUUUCAGGUGUAGCGGUGAAAUGCGUAGAGACCUGAAGGAAUACCGAUGGCGAAGGCAGCCUCCUGGCAUCAUACUGACACUGAGGCUCGAAAGCGUGGGUAGCAAACAGGAUUAGAUACCCUGGUAGUCCACGCCGUAAACGAUGUCUACUAGUCGUUGGGGAACUUGAUUCCUUAGUGACGCAGCUAACGCAAUAAGUAGACCGCCUGGGGAGUACGGCCGCAAGGUUAAAACUCAAAUGAAUUGACGGGGGCCCGCACAAGCGGUGGAGCAUGUGGUUUAAUUCGAUGCAACGCGAAGAACCUUACCUGGUCUUGACAUAUCUAGAAUCCUGCAGAGAUGCGGGAGUGCCUUCGGGAAUUAGAAUACAGGUGCUGCAUGGCUGUCGUCAGCUCGUGUCGUGAGAUGUUGGGUUAAGUCCCGCAACGAGCGCAACCCUUUUCCUUAGUUACCAGCGGUUUGGCCGGGGACUCUAAGGAUACUGCCAGUGACAAACUGGAGGAAGGCGGGGACGACGUCAAGUCAUCAUGGCCCUUACGACCAGGGCUACACACGUGCUACAAUGGUAGGUACAGAGGGCAGCUACACAGCGAUGUGAUGCGAAUCUCAAAAAGCCUAUCGUAGUCCAGAUUGGAGUCUGCAACUCGACUCCAUGAAGUAGGAAUCGCUAGUAAUCGCGGAUCAGAAUGCCGCGGUGAAUACGUUCCCGGGCCUUGUACACACCGCCCGUCACACCAUGGGAGUUGAUUGCACCAGAAGUGGGUAGCCUAACUUUUAGAGGGCGCUCACCACGGUGUGGUUGA